UGGGGAAUAUUGCACAAUGGGGGGAAACCCUGAUGCAGCGACGCCGCGUGAGUGAAGAAGUAUUUCGGUAUGUAAAGCUCUAUCAGCAGGGAAGAAGAAGGACGGUACCUGAGUAAGAAGCCCCGGCUAACUACGUGCC
rnacentral:rRNA from 1 species